rnacentral:rRNA from 1 species
UACGUAGGGGGCAAGCGUUAUCCGGAAUCACUGGGCGUAAAGGGUGCGUAGGUGGCUUAUCAAGCCAGGGGUGAAAGGCAUUGGCUCAACCAAUGUAAGCCUUUGGAACUGAUAGGCUUGAGUGCAGGAGAGGUAAGUGGAAUUCCUAGUGUAGAGGUGAAAUUCGUAGAUAUUAGGAGGAACACCAGUGGCGAAGGCGACUUACUGGACUGUAACUGACACUGAGGCACGAAAGCGUGGGUAGCGAACAGGAUUAGAUACCCCGGUAGUCC